UAGUCGGGUUCUUAACCUGCUGAGCCACAUGGGAACUCCUGGUUUCCUUCUUAAUUAAAAGAAAAAAUACGGUGGUCAAGCUCUGAAUGCUGCCUUAAAAUUUGUGGCAACCGGCCGAACACAAUCACGAUUAGAAGGCCUUGCCUUUUUGGUCCAUGUGAAUUCUCAAACUAUUUAUUGGGAGUUUCAUCUCCGUUUUGUAACUCAGGUCCACCCACGGAAGCUGGAAAUUUUAUAGGUCAAAGAGAUAAGAAAACACGAAGAACGGAGGGGCCCGCGUCAGCUGGGAAGGACGCUGAAGCAGGCUCUGGCGUGGGCAGAGCAGGGCCCGAGAUGGCGUGGAACACAGACCUGAGCCAGCAAAGCCGGCUGACGCCCACGCCCGGGCUGAAAGGGAGUCUGGGCAUCAGAAGUUGGGAGACUGAGGGAGGGAACGACGGCUCUGCGGGGCCGGGCACGGAGGCCCUCAGCCAACGUCUGUGUCUGAGAAGAAACCUAACUACACUCACAGGAGUGAGUCUCGAAGCACAUCAGCCACAGGGCUGCUCCGUGGGCCUAAGGUGCUGCCGGUGCGUAGAGAAGAGCCAAGUGGGUGCAAAGGCCUGCCACCCCCAUGUUUACUUUGGGUGCCUGCUCAGAGAGGACCAGCCAGCGGGGGGAAGCUUAUCACUGAAACGGAGAGGGAGGCUUCCUAUGUUUGAUGCUAAAGCCUUGGGGUGCGUGCUGGCAGGAUGCAUCUCCCCUCCCUGGCACAAUCCCAGGAGUUUCCACUGCUGAGCCUCUCAGAAGCCUGGGGAUGGUCAGCGGCAGGGGAGGGAGAUGCUGGUGAAGGGCCGACACGCUCUUCUCUUCCAUCAUGUACAUUAGUGGUCACUGGGUCAGGAUUCUCGCCUUUCCAUCUUACAAAUAACUGCCACUCCGCAGACUCAGGUGAAGCAGCUUUACCCAGGGGUCCCCUACUCUUAGGGCUGAUGCCAAGACCCUCUGGGGCUGCGGCUGCUUCACCAGAAGGAUGUCGGUAGAACUUAAGGAAAGUCUGAUAAUUCGAUGGAGGAGAAAAGGACCAGGUGAAGACGUGGCACCAGAAGGCCGAGCGUUAAUGUGGAAUAUGGAGAGAGGAAGCCGAAAUGCUGGGCGAAACAAGGGCAGAGGCAAACCUGACCCCGUGGUCAGAUUCACUGCUGAGAGAUUAUUAGUGGGAUUUGAACGCUUUGUGCUUUGGAGGGUGUUGGUUCUAGGGAGAGUCACAUGGCCGGGGUGAGACCAGACCACCGGCUCACACCCAGAAGCAGAACUUCCCUUCCAGUGAACUGAUGAAGAGGCCAACUUAAGAGCCCCACGGAAGGGGGCCUCCCUGGAACAUGGGUGAUCUGCUCAGGGCCCAAGUCCUCAAUUCAGUCACCCAUCUCAUUCUAUGACUGGCGUCCCCCCAGUGUUUACCUUGGUCAGAGUCCCUCCCAUGACGGUGUAAGGCAACAGCUGGGUCCCCAGGAAAGCAGCAGAGUGUCACCCUCCAGUAGGGUGGGUCUUAGUGCGGCGGGGAGGAGGGGCUGCGCCACCACGGACGGUGGGGACACAGGGAGGAGGAGACGGGAAGGUACUUGCUGAGAAGUCAGACAG
ensembl:lncRNA